GAUGAACGCUGGCGGCGUGCCUAACACAUGCAAGUCGAGCGAUUCUCUUCGGAGAAGAGCGGCGGACGGGUGAGUAACGCGUGGGUAACCUGCCCUGUACACACGGAUAACAUACCGAAAGGUAUGCUAAUACGAGAUAAUAUACUUUUAUCGCAUGGUAGAAGUAUCAAAGCUUUUGCGGUACAGGAUGGACCCGCGUCUGAUUAGCUAGUUGGUAAGGUAACGGCUUACCAAGGCGACGAUCAGUAGCCGACCUGAGAGGGUGAUCGGCCACAUUGGAACUGAGACACGGUCCAAACUCCUACGGGAGGCAGCAGUGGGGAAUAUUGCACAAUGGGCGAAAGCCUGAUGCAGCAACGCCGCGUGAGCGAUGAAGGCCUUCGGGUCGUAAAGCUCUGUCCUCAAGGAAGAUAAUGACGGUACUUGAGGAGGAAGCCCGGCGUAACUACGUGCCAGCAGCCGCGGUAAU
rnacentral:rRNA from 1 species